rnacentral:piRNA from 1 species
UGGUCAGUUUUUGCUUCCUCCAUUUUGUC